CAGUUACUACAAAAUAUCUGAACUGCUGACAUACUGCAGUGGCUCCAUUGACACAGAUGGGCAGGUAUUAGAUUAUUCAGGUACUCAGGCUGUGAUUUCAUCUUUUGCAUUGCUGCGCCUCGUCAGCAAUCUGCCCUUCCCAUCAUCUGCAACCCAAGGGACCAAUUGCAUUUAGAUGUGGACCAUCAGGUUCCUACAGGAGGUUAAUGAUACACAGGAAGAUGAUUUUAUGAAGAAGGAAAUAACUGGAGUUGUGGUGGUAUCUGCAUAUUAGGUCAGUGAUCCAGUGGCAACACAGCUCAGUCUAAAUACUCAGAUGUUUCUGCUAUCCAGUAAGGACCCUUGGAUCUCCAACGGAUCAUAGGAUUUGGAGAAGGCACUGAUGUAGCCUUUAGCAAAGGUAAAAAAAGUCAAUUGUGUAUUCAGUAUAUUAGGAAAGCUAAAACAG
rnacentral:lncRNA from 1 species